rnacentral:rRNA from 1 species
GACGAACGCUGGCGGCGUGCUUAACACAUGCAAGUCGAACGGAAAGGCCCUGCUUUUGUGGGGUGCUUGAGUGGCGAACGGGUGAGUAACACGUGAGUAACCUGCCCUUGACUUUGGGAUAGCUUCAGGAAACUGGGGCUAAUACCGGAUAGGAGCUCCUGCUGCAUGGUGGGGGUUGGAAAGUUUCGGCGGUUGGGGAUGGACUCGCGGCUUAUCAGCUUGUUGGUGGGGUAGUGGCUUACCAAGGCUUUGACGGGUAGCCGGCCUGAGAGGGUGACCGGCCACAUUGGGACUGAGAUACGGCCUAGACUCCUACGGGAGGCAGCAGUGGGGAAUAUUGCACAAUGGGCGGAAGCCUGAUGCAGCAACGCCGCGUGCGGGAUGACGGCCUUCGGGUUGUAAACCGCUUUCGCCUGUGACGAAGCGUGAGUGACGGUAAUGGGUAAAGAAGCACCGGCUAACUACGUG